UGUAAUGGUUAGCACUCUGGACUUUG
rnacentral:piRNA from 5 species